rnacentral:rRNA from 1 species
UACGUAGGGGGCAAGCGUUGUCCGGAUUUAUUGGGCGUAAAGAGCGUGUAGGCGGCUAGGUAGGUCCGCUGUGAAAACUCGAGGCUCAACCUCGAGACGUCGAUGGAAACCAUCUAGCUAGAGUCCGGAAGAGGAGAGUGGAAUUCCUGGUGUAGCGGUGAAAUGCGCAGAUAUCAGGAAGAACACCCGUGGCGAAGGCGGCUCUCUAGUACGUGACUGACGCUGAGACGCGAAAGCGUGGGGAGCGAACAGG